rnacentral:tRNA from 1 species
GUUAAGGUGGCAGAGCUCGGUAACUGUAAAAGGCCUAAGCCCUUUGUACGAAGGUUCAAAUCCUCCCCCUAACU